rnacentral:rRNA from 1 species
UACAGAGGGGCAAGCGUUAUUCGGAAUUAUUGGGCGUAAAGGGCGCGUAGGCGGCAUCGCAAGUCGAACGUGAAAUCCCCGGGCUCAACCCGGGAACUGCGUCCGAUACUGGAAGGCUUGAAUCCGGGAGAGGGAUGCGGAAUUCCAGGUGUAGCGGUGAAAUGCGUAGAUAUCUGGAGGAACACCGGUGGCGAAGGCGGCAUCCUGGACCAACACUGACACUGAGGAGCGAAAGCCAGGGAGCAAACGGG